GCGCAAUGUCUCGUGAAACUUGUGUAACCGAUGUCAAAUAAAAUGUACAUAUCUGCCUUUAGAAGAUUUAAGGAAAUGUUCCGCGUAUAUAGAUUUAUAGUAUAUUAAAUAAAUAACAGAACUUUAGAAAAUUGAUCAAUAAAGUAUCAGCUAAAUAUUAUCAUUCGACAUGUACAUAUCAUCCUAUGAAUACUAUUUUCUGUUACUGUUAGUCAUUCUACCUGUAUAUCUCUUUUUUAAACUUUGGUCAUGGCUUGGAUGGGAAUUAUUUGUGAA